AUUCCCGGUUUCAAACUAAUAAAUAAAGCCACAACAGCAACGCACUUGCCAGUCCAACAGUGGUAGCAAACGUCCAGAUUGGCCUGUUUCGAUUGAUACGUUUUGAAGAAACCUAAUUUCAAGCAGCCGGUUCGCCAUGAAGUUCUUCACCUUCUCGGGAUUCUUCGUGUGUGCGCUUCUUUUUGCGUUAGCAGCGUUAAGCAAUGCUGCGAGCGUAAGACUGGAUAAAAGAGAGAUUGGCGCCAAAUGCUCAAAGAGCAAGCCUUGCCAUGCCGGAAACGAAAAGUGUUUCUUCAAAAAAGACGGGGACAAGGAAGGAACAUGCGGGAAAUUCUUCGGACCGUAAAUGGGAUACUGAGAUUUGUCUCGCGUUUUGAUUAAUCUGCUGACUAUAGACAAAUCAAAAAGUGAUGUCUGUUUACUGAACUUUCCCAUGCCUGUUUCGGUAUGCAAUCAGUUUUUAACAACUACAACGAUACAGUUUAUUAUGCAGUCGUUUGUAUUAUUCAACUGUAUGUACUAUACAGUUUAUUAUGCACAGAGACUUUGUGUUUGGAAAGUUCUUCAGGUUUUUGCCAGGAAGUGUACACGUACUGGUUACAACUUACAAUAACUAUUGUCUAUUAUGUAGUAAUGCAAUAUAAUUAUUAUGAACUUUAAUAAAAGUGUUCU